rnacentral:rRNA from 1 species
UACGUAGGGAGCAAGCGUUGUCCGGAAUCAUUGGGCGUAAAGCGCGCGUAGGCGGCCCCGUAAGUCCGCUGUGAAAGUCAAAGGCUCAACCUUUGAAAGCCGGUGGAAACUGUGGGGCUAGAGUCCGGAAGAGGCGAGUGGAAUUCCCGGUGUAGCGGUGAAAUGCGCAGAUAUCGGGAGGAACACCCGUGGCGAAGGCGGCUCUCUGGGACGGUACUGACGCUGAGACGCGAAAGCGUGGGGGAGCGAACAGG